CAGAGAGAGAGAGACACAGAGAGAUAGAGACAGAGAGAAAUGACUGCCUCCUCUCUGUCUUCUUUUCCCUUCAGUUUUUUAAAACAGCAGCACAUUUUAGAAGGAUUUAGAAGGGCUGCUAAAGGCUAUGACAAAAGGCCCCAAACAUAACAAUCCCACUGUAGAGAAAAAUCCCAGGUCUGGGAAUCCCAGAAAAAUUAGCUCAGAAUUGAGUAAGUUUGACAUUGAAAAUAAACGGAUGUAGACAGGGACAGAAAUUAUUUUUGUUGCCCAGGGUGCAUUUCCCCCCCCCCCCCCAGCUCUCAGGAAUAGCAAGUGGGAAGAACAACGGGCUGAGGAGAACUCAGGCAAGAACUAUCUUGUUGAGAUAAAGGAUGGUUGAGCAGGGAGCACACAUUUGCUUUUACUCUUAAGAGAGAAAGGAAGAGAUCUUUUCUUUUUAAGCUCUCCUCCAGGUUAAGAUGCUUUUCUACAUAUAUAUCAUUUAGCCAUUCUCUGGACAAACCCACACCUCCACUUGGGUCUGCCUUCCAGAGGACUGACACCUCACAAACGAUUCUCUUUUUUAGUGAUCCUCAGAUCUCAGCCUCCCGAGUAGCUAGGAUUUGUAUGCUGGAGCUAUUGGCAGCUGGCAUACUAUUCUCUUAAGAGCGUCUCUUCAAGUCUCCUGAAGAAUUAACUGCUCCUGCCUUUGGGCUUCCAGAGCAAAUUGCUUGUACUUGGGCAGGUUAUAUACCCUCUUCAUCAUAGUGAGUUGUUUACCGCCACCUCCUACACAAGACGGUAAUGCCCAUUAGGAUAGGGAGUUAGGAUAGGGAAUAAGACUUGUUGUUUGUUUAUAUUUACCACUUCCCCUGUGCCUCUUCUCAUAGCACAUAGCAGAAUGACUGUCACACAGGAAAUCUACCCUCUCCCCAAAAUGCUUGUUGAGUGAAAACCACAGUUGUUUGAGUGUGGAUUAUCCACUGGGUAGUUCCCUAUAAUGAAUGUUUAAUUCGUAGUCUGGUUGCCCUUCCAGAUCAGCUCCUCACACUAUCACUUAAUAUGUGCUCAGAGAAUGCAAACACUUUUUUUAAUAUUAUCUUCCCUAGAACAUAAUUAGGUGCUGCUAAAAAUUCAUUAUCGUGCUUUGCAAUGCCAAAAAGAAAUGACUUUUGCAUUAUCCACGCCACUGCUUUUCUACAGUGGAGUGGGUAGACUGAGAUGCGAGCAGUCUUAGUGUAACUGAUGAUGAGACCACCAUCAAAGGCAGGUGGACACCAGGUUCUGAUGGCUCACGCUUGUAAUCCUAGCUACUCAGGAGGCUGAGAUCUGAGGAGUGUGGCUUGAAGCGAGCCUGAGAAGAGUCCCUGAGACUCUUACUCCAGUUAACCAGCAGAAAGCUGACAGUGGAAUAAUUUCGUUCAAGUGGUAGAAUACUGGCCUUGAGUGGAACAGCCAUGUGAGAGAAUUAAGGCCCUGGGUUCAAGUUCUAGUACUGGUAUGUGCGUGCACAUACAAAGAGCAGUUAGGUUGGUGGUGACUGAGGAGGAAGAACAGUGGCCCUGUCCUCUGUCAUUCUUCUGGGUUGCUAAGUGUCCUGGAAUUUGCACAGAACACAUAGCAUUGGGGCCCACCCUCAACAGUUACCUAAAAAAUGGCCACUGAGGGCUGGCAUCAAGGAAGGGAUCACAACUAAAACCUCAAAAAUUUAGUCAUCAGAAAGGCUAACCCAAGGCUCCUAAUUUUUUUGUUUGUUUGUUUGUUCUGCAAUGGGAUUAUGAAAUUCUUUCUGUUCUUCCUCAGACUUUUGUGUCCCACCUUCUUGUCUCCUGCAUACUUUUGGGGAGGUGACUGGAAUUUGUUUUUCAUUGCGCCAUAUGUAGCUCUUCCACCACAAAGAGCAGCAGCAUUUGGCUGACUGUGUGAGGCCAACAUGUCUCUUUCAGUCCUCUGGUGGAAGGCCCUGACUCUGGGUGUUGGGGCUAGGCUAUUGCUGGAGUCUUCAUUUCAGUUUCCUUCCUGACUCUGCUGUGGAUGAGCUGUGCGGUUUUUGAAGAUGCUGUUUAAGUUCCCUGGGCAUUGGUAACUCCCAAUGAGAGGAACCUGGGUUAAGGCAGAUGCUCUUUUUAGCUGUUACUUUUUCCAUAGUCUAUAAUUGAGGUUGAAAAGAAAUGUGCAUACACAUGAUUUUUUUAAAUGAAUACUAUUUGCUCUCUAUGAUAGGUUAUAGGAUACAUAUAUAUCAAAUGUUUUCAAUUCUCCCUCCUCCUUCCUGAGAAAGACUACUAGGCUCCCAGAGGUUCUGUGGGCAUGGCUGCUCUGGUAUGUGCAGUGCAAAGGGUUUUCCUUAGUCCCUUCUUGUUGGUCACAGAGGCAAAUUAUGUCUAUUGUUCCCAGGAUAUAUAUAUGCAACUGUGGAUAAAUAUAAUGCAACCUGAGGUGCUAAGUAGUGAUGGGACAGGAAAUAGUACUGGGUGGGGAGCGUGUGGCUGCUGCUGGUUUGGCCAGGCUUCCUUAAAGAAGUAAGCUUGGAGCAGCAGCAGGGCUCAG